GACGAACGCUGGCGGCGUGCUUAACACAUGCAAGUCGAGGGCACCCAGCAAUGGGUGACCGGCGAACGGGUGCGUAACACGUGAGCAACCUACCGAUUUCUGGGGAGUAGCCGGCCCAACGGCCGGGUAAUACCGCAUACGCUCACUACAGGGAGUCCUGUGGUGAGGAAACCUCCGGGGAAGAUCGCGGGCUCGCGGCCUAUCAGCUAGUUGGUGCGGUAACGGCGCACCAAGGCGAUGACGGGUAGCUGGUCUGAGAGGAUGGCCAGCCACAUUGGGACUGAGAGACGGCCCAGACUCCUACGGGAGGCAGCAGUGGGAAUCUUGCGCAAUGGACGAAGUCUGACGCAGCGACGCCGCGUGCGGGAGGAAGCUCUUCGGGCUGUAAACCGCUGUGCCCGGGACGAAUGCCCUUUUCGAAGGGUUGACGGUACCGGGUGAGGAAGCGCCGGCUAACUCUGUGCCAGCAGCCGCGGUAAUACAGAGGGCGCGAGCGUUGUCCGGAAUCACUGGGCGUAAGGGCGCGUAGGUGGCGGCAUAAGGCCGUGGUGAAAGUCUGGGGCUCACCCAGAUCGGCCAUGGCAACUGUGUCGCUAGGGCACCGUAGAGGCAGAUGGAAUUCCGGGUGUAGCGGUGGAAUGCGUAGAGAUCCGGAAGAACACCAGGGGCGAAGGCGGUCU
rnacentral:rRNA from 1 species